rnacentral:rRNA from 1 species
ACGGCUCAGUAACACGUGGCUAACCUACCCUUAGGACGGGGACAACCCCGGGAAACUGGGGCUAACAUCUGAUAGGUGAGGAGGCCUGGAAUGGUUCCUCCCUGAAAAGGCGUUGAAACCAUGCUUUUCAGCGUCGCCUAAGGAUGGGGCCGCGCCCGAUCAGGUUGUUGGUGGGGUAACGGCUCACCAAGCCAUUAACCGGUACGGGCCGUGAGAGCGGGAGCCCGGAGAUGGGCACUGAGACAAGGGCCCAGGCCCUACGGGGCGCAGCAGUCGCGAAAACUCCGCAAUGCGCGAAAGCGUGACGGGGCUACCCCGAGUGCCGUCCGCUGAGGAUGGCUUUUCCCCGGUGUAAUGAGCCGGGGGAAUAAGGAGAGGGCAAGACUGGUGUCAGCCGCCGCGGUAAUACCAGCUCUCCGAGUGGUAGGGACAAUUAUUGGGCUUAAAGCGUCCGUAGCCGGCUUGGCAAGCCUCCUGUUAAAUUCAGCGACUUAAUCGUUGAGCCGCGGGAGAUACUACUAGGCUAGGAGGCGGGAGAGGCCGACGGUAUUCCCGGGGUAGGGGUGAAAUCCUAUAAUCCCGGGAGGACCACCAGUGGCGAAGGCUGUCGGCUAGAACGCGCUCGACGGUGAGGGACGAAAGCUGGGGGAGCGAACCGGAUUAGAUACCCGGGUAGUCCCAGCCGUAAACGAUGCGGGCUAGGUGUUGAGGUGGCUACGAGCCACUUCAGUGCCGCAGGGAAGCCAUUAAGCCCGCCGCCUGGGGAGUACGGCCGCAAGGCUGAAACUUAAAGGAAUUGGCGGGGGAG